GGGGAAUUUUGGACAAUGGGCGCAAGCCUGAUCCAGCAAUGCCGCGUGCAGGAUGAAGGCCUUCGGGUUGUAAACUGCUUUUGUACGGAACGAAAAGGCUCUGGUUAAUACCUGGGGUCUAUGACGGUACCGUAAGAAUAAGCACCGGCUAACUACGUGCCAGCAGCCGCGGUAAUACGUAGGGUGCAAGCGUUAAUCGGAAUUACUGGGCGUAAAGCGUGCGCAGGCGGUUUUGUAAGACAGAGGUGAAAUCCCCGGGCUCAACCUGGGAACUGCCUUUGUGACUGCAAGGCUGGAGUACGGCAGAGGGGGAUGGAAUUCCGCGUGUAGCAGUGAAAUGCGUAGAUAUGCGGAGGAACACCGAUGGCGAAGGCAAUCCCCUGGGCCUGUACUGACGCUCAUGCACGAAAGCGUGGGGAGCAAAC
rnacentral:rRNA from 1 species